GUAGACAGUCAAGUGAAAUCUAAUCCACGAAAUAAUUUGAUCUAUGGACAGCAUCGUUGUGGUAAAGGUCGUA
rnacentral:tRNA from 1 species